ACCGCACCGCACUUCUCCCACACC
rnacentral:siRNA from 1 species